rnacentral:rRNA from 1 species
UACGUAGGGUGCAAGCGUUAAUCGGAAUUACUGGGCGUAAAGCGUGCGCAGGCGGUUGUGCAAGACCGAUGUGAAAGCCCGGGGCUCAACUCCGGAACUGCCUUUAAGACUGCAUCGCUAGAAUUGUGGAGAGGUAAGUGGAAUUCCGAGUGUAGAGGUGAAAUUCGUAGAUAUUCGGAAGAACACCAGUGGCGAAGGCGGCAACCUGGGCCAAUACUGACGCUGAGGUGCGAAAGCGUGGGGAGCAAACAGG